CAGCAGCCGGGUAAUACGUAGGGUGCGAGCGUUAAUCGGAUUUACUGGGCGUAAAGCGUGCGCAGGCGGCCCGUUAAGACAGGUGUGAAAUCCCUGGGCUCAACCUAGGAAUUGCGCUUGUGACUGGCGGGCUCGAGUACGGUAGCGGGGGGUGGAAUUCCUGGUGUAGCAGUGAAAUGCGUAGAGAUCAGGAGGAACACCGAUGGCGAAGGCAGCCCCCUGGGCCUGUACUGACGCUCAUGCACGAAAGCGUGGGGAGCAAACAGGAUUAGAUACCCUGGUAGUCCACGCCCUAAACGAUGGGUACUAGCCGUUUGGUGCGCGAUAGCGCUGAGUGGCGAAGCUAACGCGUGAAGUACCCCGCCUGGGGAGUACGGCCGCAAGGUUGAAACUUAAAGGAAUUGGCGGG
rnacentral:rRNA from 1 species